rnacentral:rRNA from 1 species
AGAGUUUGAUCCUGGCUCAGGAUGAACGCUGGCGGCGUGCCUAAUACAUGCAAGUCGAGCGAACAGAUAAGGAGCUUGCUCCUUUGACGUUAGCGGCGGACGGGUGAGUAACACGUGGGUAACCUACCUAUAAGACUGGGAUAACUUCGGGAAACCGGAGCUAAUACCGGAUAAUAUUUCGAACCGCAUGGUUCGAUAGUGAAAGAUGGUUUUGCUAUCACUUAUAGAUGGAUCCGCGCCGUAUUAGCUAGUUGGUAAGGUAACGGCUUACCAAGGCAACGAUACGUAGCCGACCUGAGAGGGUGAUCGGCCACACUGGAACUGAGACACGGUCCAGACUCCUACGGGAGGCAGCAGUAGGGAAUCUUCCGCAAUGGGCGAAAGCCUGACGGAGCAACGCCGCGUGAGUGAUGAAGGUCUUCGGAUCGUAAAACUCUGUUAUUAGGGAAGAACAUACGUGUAAGUAACUAUGCACGUCUUGACGGUACCUAAUCAGAAAGCCACGGCUAACUACGUGCCAGCAGCCGCGGUAAUACGUAGGUGGCAAGCGUUAUCCGGAAUUAUUGGGCGUAAAGCGCGCGUAGGCGGUUUUUUAAGUCUGAUGUGAAAUCCCACGGCUCAACCGUGGAGGGUCAUUGGAAACUGGAAAACUUGAGUGCAGAAGAGGAAAGUGGAAUUCCAUGUGUAGCGGUGAAAUGCGCAGAGAUAUGGAGGAACACCAGUGGCGAAGGCGACUUUCUGGUCUGUAACUGACGCUGAUGUGCGAAAGCGUGGGGAUCAAACAGGAUUAGAUACCCUGGUAGUCCACGCCGUAAACGAUGAGUGCUAAGUGUUAGGGGGUUUCCGCCCCUUAGUGCUGCAGCUAACGCAUUAAGCACUCCGCCUGGGGAGUACGACCGCAAGGUUGAAACUCAAAGGAAUUGACGGGGACCCGCACAAGCGGUGGAGCAUGUGGUUUAAUUCGAAGCAACGCGAAGAACCUUACCAAAUCUUGACAUCCUUUGACCGCUCUAGAGAUAGAGUUUUCCCCUUCGGGGGACAAAGUGACAGGUGGUGCAUGGUUGUCGUCAGCUCGUGUCGUGAGAUGUUGGGUUAAGUCCCGCAACGAGCGCAACCCUUAAACUUAGUUGCCAGCAUUCAGUUGGGCACUCUAAGUUGACUGCCGGUGACAAACCGGAGGAAGGUGGGGAUGACGUCAAAUCAUCAUGCCCCUUAUGAUUUGGGCUACACACGUGCUACAAUGGACAAUACAAAGGGCAGCGAAACCGCGAGGUCAAGCAAAUCCCAUAAAGUUGUUCUCAGUUCGGAUUGUAGUCUGCAACUCGACUACAUGAAGCUGGAAUCGCUAGUAAUCGUAGAUCAGCAUGCUACGGUGAAUACGUUCCCGGGUCUUGUACACACCGCCCGUCACACCACGAGAGUUUGUAACACCCGAAGCCGGUGGAGUAACCAUUUUGGAGCUAGCCGUCGAAGGUGGGACAAAUGAUUGGGGUGAAGUCGUAACAAGGUAGCCGUAUCGGAAGGUGCGGCUGGAUCACCU